rnacentral:lncRNA from 1 species
GGGUAAAAGCCUUUUAUUGUUACCAAAUCCAGUACUUAUAAUAUACGCCUACAGGUGAGAUAAAAAUAUUACGCGUGCAUGACUUUAUAAUGUAUGGUAUUAUUUGGUUUUUUCCUGCAUGACUAUAAGUUAUAGUCUUUGUAACGAAAACUAUAAUACUUUUUAUAAAAAAAAAAAAAAAAACAAAGACUUGUUCUUUAUUAGUGGCAAUUUGCAUUGUAAAUUACCGAUUAAAAGAGAUUUUUUUAUAAAAAAAUAUAUUGCAUGGAAACAAAAGAGAAGCAGCG